UGGGAAACUACAACAGCCUAAUCCAAGCA
rnacentral:piRNA from 1 species